UCUCUCUCUCUUUCUCCCUCUCUCUUAAUCGUUUUGUAUUUUUUUCCCUUUAAUUUUCAGCCCCGUUUCCUCUCUCUCAUUUGUUUCAUAACCCUAACCCAACCCGUCUUUGAAAGAGACGCUAAGACCUAACGACGUGGAAACGAAGGCGAUGUGACUCCGCAACUAGGCGAGGGGAGGCGGCAGCAAGGCAAGGGAAGGUGACGACCGACAAGAAUCUUAUAGCAACAGGGCUAUGUAACCACUUUGUUCUCUGCAGGGUACUACUUGUCAUAUGGCUACCAUACAUUUUCUGCUGCUAUAGUUCUUUACUACAAAAGGGAGAUUAUUUUGCUUUGUUUGGAUGCUGGGAGGGUCAUCUUAUGCUAGGAGUGAAAAAUUACUUGUAAGAGAAGUGACUGCUAUUCUUGAUGAGUUGGCAGUAGAGAGAAAUGCAUAAAAAUGGCUACUGUUGAAGAGGAAGGAAGCACAAGUCCACUUCCUGAAAGGGUAUGAUUCAAAUUGUUUUAAUUUAAUAUCUA